rnacentral:lncRNA from 1 species
CAGGAGUCGUUGGUGGAGUCCGGCUCUCGUAGGAGUCUGGGCGAAGCCUGCAGGUGAAGUCAUGGGUGAGGUCCGGCUCCCGUAGGAGCCUGUGCGGAGUCUACAGGUGAAGUCGUAGGCGAGGUCCGACUCCCGUAGGAGUCCGAAUGAAGUUUACCUGCAAUCAGAGUUUGGGAUGAAGUCUGGCUCCUAUAGGAGUCCGG